UCGGGAAACUUUUGCAAUACGCGCAAGCGUGACAAAGCAAGCCAAAGUGCUGUUCUUUUUUGAACAGCUUUUGCGGGAUGUAAAAAGUCCCGUGAAUAAGGACUGGGCAAGACCGGUGCCAGCCGCCGCGGUAAUCCCGGCAGUCCAAGUCGCAGCCACAUUUGUUGGGUCUAAAACAUCCGUAGCUUGCUAUGUAAGUCUUUGGUGAAAUCGGGACUCUUAAGGUUCCGGCGGGCCUCAGGUACUGCAUAGCUAGAGACCGGGAGGCGUAAGAAGUACGUACAGGGAAGCGGUAAAAUGUGUUGAUCCUGUAUGGACUCUCAGUCGCGAAGGCGUCUUACGAGAACGGUUCUGACAGUGAGGGAUGAAGGCUAGGGGCGCAAAGUGG
rnacentral:rRNA from 1 species